rnacentral:tRNA from 2 species
GCUCCGGUGGUCUAGUCUGGUCUAGGAUACUUGACUCUCAAUCAAGAGGUCACGGGUUCGAAUCCCGUUCGGAGUGCC